AAAAAUCCUAAUAUAUCGAACAGCCUUAUCUGUUUGACAGCUGAUACUUUCCACGUCGUUAACUUAACCUAACUUUCUUUUUGUUUACAAACUUUUGGCAUUAAAUUUAAAAUGUAGAAAAGGGGCGCCAACGUGCCCCAGACCCUAUAAUGAGACAGAGGAUAACCCCGGCAGAGUUCCUAAAGAAGAACUGGUUGCUAGUGGCGAUUUUGUGUUGUAUCUUCCUAGCAGGAUUAUACCCAAAACUUGGAUCUAAAGAGGGACCACUAAAGACUGAAUAUUCAGUAAAGUAUGGGGCAGUGUCUCUCAUGUUUUUCAUAAGCGGUUUUUCCCUUAAAACCGACAGCAUCUUUUACACAUUUAAACAGUAUAAAUUGCAUUUAUUUAUACAACUAUUUACAUUCCUUCUUGUUCCUAUUUACACUCAGCUCUUUGUAAAGUUUUUGAGCAUGUUUGGUAUUAAUGGAUGGGUAUUAAAAGGGUUAAUUACAGUGUCUUGUAUGCCUCCACCAGUUAGCAGUGCAGUUAUUUUAACUAGGGCAGCCCAAGGCAAUGAAACUGCUGCCAUAUUUAAUUCUGUAGUAGGGAGCUUUUUAGGAAUUAUUAUUACUCCUAUAUUGUUGUUAUUUAAUUUAGGUUCAACCACAAUUGUGCCUCUUUUUGGUACAGUUUUACAAUUGACUGUCUCAGUGAUUCUUCCUCUGCUUGCGGGGCAGCUAAUAAAGGUUUUUACUAAUUUUCGAGGGCACAGAAUUCCUUUUGGCACAAUCAGCCAAUGUGCUUUAUUGUUUGUGAUAUACACAACAUUUUGUGAUACCUUUUUGGUACCGGAGACUGGACUGUCAGCUUUAGAUGUCAUUUUUACAAUAUUUUCUGUUCUUUUGCUACAAAUUGCUUUAAUUUUAUUGAGCUUUAAGCUGUCUAACUCUAUGAGGAAAUUGUUUACUUCAGCGGACGUUAUUGCCAUGGUGUUUUGCUCUACUCACAAGUCCUUAACACUUGGUAUUCCAAUUUUAAGGAUAAUGUUUCAUGGGUAUUCACAUUUGAGCCAAAUAAGCUUACCACUGUUGGUGUACCAUCCAACACAAAUUAUUUUAGGCGGGCUGAUGGUGCCCCAGCUCAAAGAUUGGCUGCAUUCUCAAAAAAAGAGGAAGUUGCCAGUUUAAAUGGUUUAUAACUCAGUGUUAUUCAUUGAUUAAGUAGGAGUAUUUGGUUUUCCAGCAAAUGAAGUCUAGAUGUUGGACCCAAGUUAAGGUAUGAUCUAAUAUAAUGGCUAAAAAUUUUGUUUUAACUAUUUUUGGAUGUUUAUCUGUUCUGGUAUGUUCAAUGCGGAUCCUUGAGUUUUAAAAACUACCAGCUAGUACCAUAACGUUUUCCAUCUUAAAAAUAUGAGGAGUGUCAAGUGAUGUUACAAGAACUUUGGUAUCAUUUGCAUAAUUGGUGAUUUCAACGCACAGCAUAAAGAAACCAGCAGUCUCACUCCGCUCGAAAAUGUAAGCGAA